UGGGGAAUAUUGCACAAUGGGCGCAAGCCUGAUGCAGCAACGCCGCGUGAACGAUGAAGGUCUUCGGAUCGUAAAGUUCUGUUGCAGGGGAAGAUAAUGACGGUACCCUGUGAGGAAGCUCCGGCUAACUACGUGCCAGCAGCCGCGGUAAUACGUAGGGGGCUAGCGUUAUCCGGAUUUACUGGGCGUAAAGGGUGCGUAGGUGGUCCUUCAAGUCGGUGGUUAAAGGCUACGGCUCAACCGUAGUAAGCCGCCGAAACUGGAGGACUUAAGUGCAGGAGAGGAAAGUGGAAUUCCCAGUGUAGCGGUGAAAUGCGUAGAUAUUGGGAGGAACACCAGUAGCGAAGGCGGAUUUCUGGACUGCAACUGACACUGAGGCACGAAAGCGUGGGUAGCAAACAGG
rnacentral:rRNA from 1 species